UGGGGAAUAUUGGACAAUGGGCGCAAGCCUGAUCCAGCCAUGCCGCGUGAGUGAUGAAGGUCUUAGGAUUGUAAAGCUCUUUCACCGACGAAGAUAAUGACGGUAGUCGGAGAAGAAGCCCCGGCUAACUUCGUGCCAGCAGCCGCGGUAAUACGAAGGGGGCUAGCGUUGUUCGGAAUUACUGGGCGUAAAGCGCAUGUAGGCGGAUAUUUAAGUCAGGGGUGAAAUCCCGGAGCUCAACUCUGGAACUGCCUUUGAUACUGGGUAUCUCGAGUAUGGAAGAGGUGAGUGGAAUUCCGAGUGUAGAGGUGAAAUUCGUAGAUAUUCGGAGGAACACCAGUGGCGAAGGCGGCUCACUGGUCCAUUACUGACGCUGAGGUGCGAGAGCGUGGGGAGCAAACA
rnacentral:rRNA from 1 species